rnacentral:lncRNA from 1 species
UGUAACUACUUGUAUUUUUAGUGCUGAUGUUUAGUGCCAAAACUCUAGAUUAGUCCUGUCCAAUGGAAAUCUAAUGUGAGCCAUAUAUACCAUUUUAAAUUACAGGCACACCAAAAAAGUAAAAGUACACAUAUAAAACGAAUUUUAAUAAUAUAUUUAAUUUAACCUAGUAUAUCCAAUAUAUUAUUUCAACACAUAAUAUAAAGAUUAUUAAUGAGAUAGUUUUCAUUUUUAUGUUGUUUUUGAAAUUGGUUGUAUAUUUUAAACUUGCAGCAGAUGACAAUUUAAGUGCCCAACACCCACAUGUGAUUGGUGGCCACUAUAUUGCACAGUGGCCCUCCAGGGCUGGGACUUACAUGUAUUUGAAUGAAUUCUAUAUAUUUCCCCUCUUUUCCUGACUCUUCAGUGACAAUCCUAAGACCAUGCUAAUAACAGAAGACAGUAAUCCCUUUUCUUAGCCAAACAAUUUGGAAGCCAUGAUUUUCUUUGCAUAUCAUGAAAGUGACCAUGGUGUUGGAUAUUGUGGUAGAACUUUCAAGUAAAAAAGAACUGUCAUUCAACUGAAUUGGAAGCCUCCAAGACUGCUGAGCACCCCAUGUCUUCGAGUGCACCGAGGCUGGAGGAAUGCUACAGAGGGAAACUUGCUUUGGAAGAAGGUGGUCUUCAUAGCUUCCAAUGUCUCCUAUGCUCCCAUAAAUAAGAGCAGAAAACAGAGACUAUAAAACUUUUGGGUCUCUGAUUUUUCAGACUCUUUUCUUAUUAAUUCCAGCAUAUGCACCUACUGAUGAUGACUUCCUGAGUGACUGAUGUGUGCCAGGUCCUGUAGUUGUUAUAGUUAAAGAGAAUAAAAGAUCCUUCCAUUGCUAUGGUGAUAUUUUUGCCACUAACCAGUUACUCAUCACUCCCAGUUGGAACAUAGCUAAUAUCAUAGGCUUAUAAAAGUGGAAGCCUAUCAAAAAGUUUACCUUUAUUGUGCAAAGAGAAAAAUGUGCUUUGCUAGCAAAAGAAACUAUCAGCAGAGUAAACAGAAAACCUAAGAAUGGGAGAAAAUAUUUGCAAACUGUGCAUCUGAUAAAGGUCUAAUAUCCAGCAUCUAUAAGGAGCUUAAACAAAUUUUCAAGAAAAAUACAAACAACCCGAUUAAAAAGUGGACAAAGGACACAGGCACUUUUCAAAAAAAGACAUACAAGCAUAUGACAAAAAGCUCAAUAUCACUGAUCAUUAGAGAAAUGCAAAUCAAAGCCGCAAUGAGAUACUCAUCUCACACCAGUCAGAAUGGCUAUUAAUAAAAAGUCAAAAAAUAACAGAUGCUGGCAAGGUUGCAGAGAAAAGGGAACACUUAUACACUGUUGGUGGGAGUGCAAAUUAAUUCAUCCAUUGUGGAAAACUGUGUGGUGAUUCUUCAAAGAGAUAAAAACAGAACUACCAUUCGACCCAGCAAUCUCAUUACUGAGUAUUUACCCAAAAGAAUAUAAAUCAUUCUACCAUAAAGACAUAUGAUGUGAAUGUUCAUUGCAGCACUGUUCACAAUAGCAAAGACAUGGAAUCAACCUAAAUGCCCAUGAAUAUAGACUGGAUAAAGCAAAUGUGGUACAUAUACAUUGUGGCAUAAUCUGCAGCUCAAAAAGGAUGAUAUCAUGUUCCUUGCAGCAACAUGGAUGGAGUUGGAGGCCAUUGUCCUUAGCAAACUAACACAGGAACAGAAAACCAAAUACUGCUUGUUCUCUCUUAUAAGUGGGUGCUAAAUGAUGAGAACACACGGAUGCAUACAGACGGGAACAACAGACCCUGGGGCCUACUUGAGGGUAGAGUGUGGGAGGAGGGAAAGGAGCAGAAAAAGCAUCUAUUAGGUAUGAGGCUUAGUACCUGGGUGAUGAAAUAAUCUGUACAACAGCCCCCGUAACGUGAGUUUACCUAUAUAACAAACCUGCACAUUUACCCCUGAACCUAAAAUAGGCGUUAAAAAAAGUGCUUUGCAUUUGCGAGCAGUACAAUUUCUUUGAUAUUGUUUUGGAUCAAGCACCAGAUGUAUGCUUUUUUCCUCUGCUAGUUGCAAGAGGAUGUGCUAGAGAAGAUCACUAUGACCAUAUUCCCUGAUAAACUAUAAAAUUCAUGAGUGUGGGGACCAGAUUUUUCCCCAUAUUUUUAUGCUACAUUCCUGUACCAUUUUAUAAAAUAUAACAGUCAGUGCUGUUGUAAGAGACGGAAACUAGUAUUCCUUUCCCUGUAAGGAAUACUUGCAUCACUAGAGUAGUAUUAUAAUGUAGUUUAUUUAUAUGGAAAGGCACGCAGGAGAUUGCUGGAGAGCUCUUAUAUUGUAUUUGGAUUUGUGGCAGAAGUGUACUCCUAGGCCCCAGACUUACCCUGUGUCCUGGAUCUAUGAGUAUGGCUGGAGAGCCUGUGUGAGUAUCUCAGCCUCUGAGUUCCUUGAUGCAGAACAGACUCACCCAGGGCUCUCUCUCUAGAGAAGUCUUCAACCAUCCGUGAAAAGCAGCCUUCGGUUUAUAAGCUCUGAAGUCGCACAGCUUAACUCCAGUGUUACGGACUGAAUUGUCUUUACUCAAAAUUGAUACAUUGAAGCCCUAGCCCCCAGUGUAACUGUAUUUGGAGAUAAGGCCUUAAAGAGAUACUUAAAGAGGUCUUGUGGGUGGGCUGUCAUCUGAUAGAGCUGGUGUCCCUCGAAGAAGAGGAAGAAACACCAGAGAGGCACGCACGCAGGGGAAAGACCAUGUAAGGACACGGUGAAAACAUGGCCAUCUGCAAGCCGAGGAGAGAGGUCUCAAGAAAAACCAAACCUUCUGACAUCUUGAUCUUGGACUUCCAGCCUCCAGAACUGUAAGAAAUAAAUGUCCAUUGUUUCAGUCUCCCAGUUGGGUAUUUUGUUACGGCAUCCCUAGUAGACUACUACAUCUAGCAAGUAGGACAGUAGUUUGACAGUGUUGAAGAGAGUGUGGUAUGUUCACUGACAAAGUGUUCAUCUGUUUGAUUGCAGACCCUGUUUACCUCCCUUGUUGCAAUUUUACUGCAUCUAUAGCACAUAGAAAGAAAAACUGGGCUUGUGCUAGUCAUUCAGCUGGUGGACUCUCAGUCUAGCUGACAAUACUUUUGCAGCCCUGCCUUGGGCCCCUUCUGGUUCCUUUGGCUGCAGAAUACAAGUUAUACGGUUUCAUUAAUGUGUGCAAAGUACUGUUUGCUAGCCUAAGUGGCAGCAGGAGGCAGAGAUCCAGGGGAUACAGGCAUAAAGAUUAGAGGAAGGAUGUGACAGUGAAGUCAAGACAAAUGAUGCUGUUAGUAUAUGGGGGGACCAUGGCAGGUUAUGGGGUUUCACACAGAGACUGUGGAGUGAGACGGCUGAGGUUUGAAUCCUGAUCUACUAUGUUUUCGGUAGUGAUCCUGAGCAAGUUACUUAACCUGUGUGUGCCUCAGUCUCCUCCUCUGUGAAAAAGAUAUUAAUAGAGUUGUGAGGUUUAAGUGAGUUGUAUUAUGUAAAGUGGUUUCAGCAGUGCCUAAGAACUAGUAGAUGUUCUGUAAGCAUUAGUGAUGAU